rnacentral:lncRNA from 1 species
UUCAAAUAUUUUUAUAGUGACAAUAUUUGUUUGAAUAUCUUUUGACUGUUGUAGUAAACCGUUAUUAUAGAGAACAUGACCAUUAUAGUAAAAUGCAGCAAUAGAAAAUGAUUAUCGAGAGAUCUAACUAUACAUUAACAACUAGACAAAUUAACUAAAAUUUCCUAUUUUCACUUCCACAUUUUCAUAUCUCAAGAGUUUAUCACUCAAAGUUAGAUUUGAUUUAUACUUCCACCCGG